UACGUAGGUGGCAAGCGUUGUCCGGAUUUACUGGGCGUAAAGAGCGCGUAGGCGGUCGUUUAAGUCGAAUGUGAAAGCCCCCGGCUCAACUGGGGAGGGUCAUUCGAUACUGAUCGACUUGAAGGCAGGAGAGGGAAGUGGAAUUCCGGGUGUAGUGGUGAAAUGCGUAGAUAUCCGGAGGAACACCAGUGGCGAAGGCGACUUCCUGGACUGUUCUUGACGCUGAGGCGCGAAAGCUGGGGGAGCAAACGGG
rnacentral:rRNA from 1 species